CAUGCAAGUCGAACGAAGUAGCAAUACUUAGUGGCAGACGGGUGAGUAACAUGUGGGUAUCUGCCCUUUGGCCUGGAAUAACACGAGGAAACUUGUGCUAAUACCGGAUAAGUCUUUACGGAGAAAGCUUUAUGCACCAUUGGAUGAGCCUGCACUUGAUUAGUUUGUUGGUGGGGUAAUGGCCUACCAAGACUUUGAUCAAUAGCUGAUUUGAGAGGAUGAUCAGCCACAUUGGGACUGAGACACGGCCCAAACUCCUACGGGAGGCAGCAGUGGGGAAUCUUGCACAAUGGAGGAAACUCUGAUGCAGCGAUGCCGCGUGAGUGAAGAAGGCCUUUGGGUUGGAAAGCUCUUUCGUCGGGGAAGAAAAUGACUGUACCCGAAUAAGAAGGUCCGGCUAACUUCGUGCCAGCAGCCGCGGUAAUACGAAGGGACCUAGCGUAGUUCGGAAUUACUGGGCUUAAAGAGUUCGUAGGUGGUUGAAAAAGUUGGUGGUGAAAUCCCAGAGCUUAACUCUGGAACUGCCAUCAAAACUUUUCAGCUAGAGUUUGAUAGAGGAAAGCAGAAUUUCUAGUGUAGAGGUGAAAUUCGUAGAUAUUA
rnacentral:rRNA from 1 species